GAUGAAGAACGUAGCGAAAUGCGAUAAGUAAUGUGAAUUGCAGAAUUCAGUGAAUCAUCGAAUCUUUGAACGCACAUUGCGCCCGUCAGUAUUCUGGCGGGCAGGCCUGUUCGAGCGUCAUUACGCCCCUCAAGUCCCCUGUGGACUUGGUGUUGGGGAUCGGCGAGGCUGGUUUUCCAGCACAGCCGUCCCUUAAAUUAAUUGGCGGUCUCGCCGUGGCCCUCCUCUGCGCAGUAGUAAAACACUCGCAACAGGAGCCCGGCGCGGUCCACUGACGUAAAACCCCCCAACUUUUUAUAGUUGACCUCGAAUCAGGUAGGACUACCCGCUGAACUUAAGCAUAUCAAUAAGCGGAGGA
rnacentral:misc_RNA from 1 species